rnacentral:rRNA from 1 species
CGGGGGGGUAAGCGUUGUUCGGAAUUACUGGGCGUAAAGGGCUCGUAGGCGGCCAACUAAGUCAUACGUGAAAUCCCUCAGCUUAACUGGGGAACUGCGUGUGAUACUGGAUGGCUUGGAUUUGGGAGAGGGAUGCGGAAUUCCAGGUGUAGCGGUGAAAUGCGUAGAUAUCUGGAGGAACACCGGUGGCGAAGGCGGCAUCCUGGACCAAUAUUGACGCUGAGGAGCGAAAGCCAGGGGAGCAAACGGGAUUAGAUACCCCGGUAGUCCUGGCCCUAAACGAUGAAUGCUUGGUGUAGCGGGUAUCGAUCCCUGCUGUGCCGAAGCUAACGCAUUAAGCAUUCCGCCUGGGGAGUACGGUCGCAAGGUUG